rnacentral:rRNA from 1 species
UACGAAGGGGGCUAGCGUUGCUCGGAAUCACUGGGCGUAAAGCGCACGUAGGCGGCUUUUUAAGUCAGGGGUGAAAUCCUGGAGCUCAACUCCAGAACUGCCUUUGAUACUGAGAGCUUGAGUCCGGGAGAGGUGAGUGGAACUGCGAGUGUAGAGGUGAAAUUCGUAGAUAUUCGCAAGAACACCAGUGGCGAAGGCGGCUCACUGGCCCGGAACUGACGCUGAGGUGCGAAAGCGUGGGGAGCAACAGG